AGCGAACGCUGGCGGCAGGCCUAACACAUGCAAGUCGAGCGGAGAUGAGGUGCUUGCACCUUAUCUUAGCGGCGGACGGGUGAGUAAUGCUUAGGAAUCUGCCUAUUAGUGGGGGACAACAUUCCGAAAGGAAUGCUAAUACCGCAUACGUCCUACGGGAGAAAGCAGGGGAUCUUCGGACCUUGCGCUAAUAGAUGAGCCUAAGUCGGAUUAGCUAGUUGGUGGGGUAAAGGCCUACCAAGGCGACGAUCUGUAGCGGGUCUGAGAGGAUGAUCCGCCACACUGGGACUGAGACACGGCCCAGACUCCUACGGGAGGCAGCAGUGGGGAAUAUUGGACAAUGGGGGGAACCCUGAUCCAGCCAUGCCGCGUGUGUGAAGAAGGCCUUAUGGUUGUAAAGCACUUUAAGCGAGGAGGAGGCUACUGAGACUAAUACUCUUGGAUAGUGGACGUUACUCGCAGAAUAAGCACCGGCUAACUCUGUGCCAGCCGCCGCCGUAACAC
rnacentral:rRNA from 1 species